UGAAAAGCGUUGAAGAGAAGAGUAGAUUGGGAAAGAAAUAGCAGAGAGAAAGGUCGUAAGUGCUGAGAGCCUUUUAUUUUGGAACCUUUUGAAGACCACCUCUGAGCGGCUGUAAAACAGCACGGUGACUCCGUUAUCGUCAGAAUGAGUGGUUCCGGUACAUGUGACCGGUUCAAGCAGGGUGGAACCGCGAGAUAAGAUAACUCGUCCCUUAC
rnacentral:ncRNA from 1 species